GCAGUAGCCGCGGUAAGACAGAGGAUGCAAGCGUUAUCCGGAAUUAUUGGGCGUAAAGGGCUCGCAGGCGGUUUCUUAAGUCUGAUGUGAAAGCCCCCGGCUCAACCGGGGAGGGUCAUUGGAAACUGGGAAACUUGAGCGCAGAAGAGGAGAGUGGAAUUCCACGUGUAGCGGCGAAAUGCGUAGAGAUGUGGAGGAACACCAGUGGCGAAGGCGACUCUCUGGUCUGUAACUGACGCUGAGGAGCGAAAGCGUGGGGAGCGAACAGGAUUAGAUACCCCGGUAGUCCCUGUCUCUUAUAC
rnacentral:rRNA from 1 species